rnacentral:rRNA from 1 species
UAUGUGAUCGUCUCUCGCAUAUCAAUAAGCGGAGGAAAAGAAACUAACAAGGAUUCCCCUAGUAACGGCGAGUGAAGCGGGAAGAGCUCAAAUUUGAAAUCUUAAAGGGUUUCCCUUUACGAAUUGUAGUUUAAAGAAGUGUUUUCUGUUGAGGUUUUGGUAAAAGUUCUUUGGAAUAGGACAUCAUAGAGGGUGAGAAUCCCGUAUUUGACCUUUACUUUCAACUUUGUGAUACACUUUCAAAGAGUCGGAUUGUUUGGGAAUACAGUCCAAAAUGGGUGGUAAAUUUCAUCUAAAGCUAAAUAUUGGCGAGAGACCGAUAGCGAACAAGUACCGUGAGGGAAAGAUGAAAAGAACUUUGAAAAGAGAGUUAAACAGUACGUGAAAUUGUCAAAAGGGAAGCGUUUGACACCAGUGUUGUUUUUCUGAAAAUCAAUUAAAGAACUGUUUAUGCUAAGCUGUUUAGACUUUAUCAGCUAUCUGUUUAGUUUUGGAGCUUUUCUUUAAUGCACUUUUCAGUUAACAAGUCAACAUCAAUUUCUUUUGCUGUAAAAAAGCUUGAGGAAGGUGGCUUGAGAUUCGUCUUAAGUGUUUAUAGCCUCUUGCCUAUGCAGUCGGAGAGAUUGAGGUCUGCAGCGUAGAUCCUUCGGGGCUAAAUGCAUUUGUGCUAAGUUAUAGCAUUUUAUAGACAACUUGUUGACUAUGAUUUGUCUUGUAGCUUACUCGCUUAUGUUAUUUUACCUACGCUUAGGAUGUUGACGAGACUGUCGAUCUC